rnacentral:ncRNA from 2 species
CCUAGAAUCCGCUGCGUUGGUGCCUGCGGCCUGGUUCACAGACCGCGGUUCAACGGGAAGCAGGGAGGCGCCGUCCGCCACGGGCGCGCCGUGCCUGCGCUGCCCCCGCAACGGUCCGUGGAAAGAAAGCUGCCCCGCCCCUUCCGGCGCAACGGCUUUCGCCGCCUCCUGCAUAUAGCCACUGGGCGCCUUGAACAAGCGUCUGGGAAGGCGCAGGAGCGUGUCGUCCACCAGCCCGGAUACCGGCCAACACGGAGGCCUCGCC